GGCUAGGUGGCGGAGUGGUUAACGCGGUAGACUCGAAUAUACAGUUCUUCGCUGUAUAACGUGACAUCUACUUCCUUCGGGAGCGUCUGUUCGAAUCAGGCCCUAGUCG